rnacentral:tRNA from 1 species
GUGGGUAUAGCUCAGUGGUAAAGCACAUACUUAGCAUGCGUGAGGUCCUGGGGUCAAUACCCAGUACCUCCA